AUUGAACGCUGGCGGCAGGCCUAACACAUGCAAGUCGAACGGUAACAGGAAGAAGCUUGCUUCUUUGCUGACGAGUGGCGGACGGGUGAGUAAUGUCUGGGAAACUGCCUGAUGGAGGGGGAUAACUACUGGAAACGGUAGCUAAUACCGCAUAACGUCGCAAGACCAAAGAGGGGGACCUUCGGGCCUCUUGCCAUCGGAUGUGCCCAGAUGGGAUUAGCUUGUUGGUGGGGUAACGGCUCACCAAGGCGACGAUCCCUAGCUGGUCUGAGAGGAUGACCAGCCACACUGGAACUGAGACACGGUCCAGACUCCUACGGGAGGCAGCAGUGGGGAAUAUUGCACAAUGGGCGCAAGCCUGAUGCAGCCAUGCCGCGUGUAUGAAGAAGGCCUUCGGGUUGUAAAGUACUUUCAGCGGGGAGGAAGGGAGCAAAGUUAAUACCUUUGCUCAUUGACGUUACCCGCAGAAGAAGCACCGGCUAACUCCGUG
rnacentral:rRNA from 1 species